AUGGGCUUGGGGUGCUGGGCUCAGCAUCUGCACCAUUGCCUGAAAAAUAACAGACUGCUACUAGUGGAGCCCAUGAUAUUGCAAAGCCUCUACAGCAUCCAUAAUCUUAUUGUGGGAGCCUUAUCUAUAGCUGGUGAAGGCAGAAAUCCAGAUUGAGGGGUCUGUACUAUCUGUUCCUCCCCAGUACCUGCUGUACCCGCUGGCCAGCAUCAGCCAAGCUGAAGAGCAGUGAGGAGACCUCAGCAGUGCCAAAGAAUGUAGGACUUGGGCAGAGCAGAGUGACCCAGACUACUGCAACAGGAGCCACCACAGCAGGAGCAUUCCAGACAAAUGGCACCAAGAAGUCAAGCCCUACCUUGAGCUGUGGUGAGAUGGGCAGGGACCUCUCUGUUUCUGUUGGUGUGGAAGAGCAUCCUCCAGGUGCAGCAUCCCAGAAGCUCAGCACUACAGAGCCAGUGGCUGUUUAGAAAGCCUGCAAGAUAUUGGAUUAAAGGCAGAUGCCCCAGGAACAAAGAGAGAGGGUGCAUCCACAGAGACUCUGGGCCUGGGAUCACUGCAGAGAGUCAGUGCCAAGCCUGCAGCUCAAAGCAGCAUCAGAAGACUUCAUGAAUGACCCACAGACACUGCACAGAUGAGGGAAA